rnacentral:rRNA from 1 species
AUUGAACGCUGGCGGCAGGCCUAACACAUGCAAGUCGAGCGGAGCGGCGGACGGGUGAGUAAUGCCUAGGAAUCUGCCUGGUAGUGGGGGAUAACGUCCGGAAACGGGCGCUAAUACCGCAUACUAUCAGAUGAGCCUAGGUCGGAUUAGUUAGUGGGUGGGUUAAAGGCCUACCAGGGCGACGAUCCGUAACUGGUCUGAGAGGAUGAUCAGACACACUGGAACUGGGAAACGGCCCAGAUUCCAAGGGGAGGCAGCAUGGGGAAAUAUUGGACAAUGGGGGAAAGCCGGAUCCAGCCAGGCCGCGUGUGUGAAGAAGGUCUUCGGAUUGUAAAGUACUUUAAGUUGGGAGGCGGUACCAAAAGAAAAAGCACCGGCUAACUUCGUGCCAGCAGCCGCGGUAAUUC